GCCAGAGUGGUGGAAUUGGUAGACACGACGGAUUCAAAAUCCGUUGCUUUUACGAGCGUGCCGGUUCAAGUCCGGCCUUUGGUACCA
rnacentral:tRNA from 1 species